rnacentral:rRNA from 1 species
AGCAGCCGCGGUAAUUCCAGCUCCAAUAGCGUAUAUUAAAGUUGUUGCAGUUAAAAAGCUCGUAGUUGAAUUUCGGGGUUGGUAGGUUGGUCAUGCCUCUGGUAUGUACUGGUCUCACUGAUUCCUCCUUCCUGAUGAGCCGUAAUGCCAUUAAUUUGGUGUUGCGGGGAAUUUGGACUGUUACUUUGGAAAAAUUAGAGUGUUUAAAGCAGGCUUACGCUUGAAUACAUUAGCAUGGAAUAAUGAAAUAGGACGUUUGAACCUAUUUUGUUGGUUUCUAGGAUCGACGUAAUGAUUAAUAGGGAUAGUUGGGGGCAUUAGUAUUCAAUUGUCAGAGGUGAAAUUCUUGGAUUUAUUGAAGACUAACUACUGCGAAAGCAUUUGCCAAGGAUGUUUUCAUUAAUCAAGAACGAAAGUUAGGGGAUCGAAGACGAUCAGAUACCGUCGUAGUCUUAACCAUAAACUAUGCCGACUAGGGAUCGGAUGAUGUUAAUUUUUUAAUGACUCAUUCGGCGCCGUU